CAUCAAACAUGCAUGGGGAGCAAAUGGCUUGGAACCUAUUUACAAGGUUACCAAUAAGACCAAUCUUAUACUGUGUGGAACUGUAAGAAUCCCAACACGCAUAUUGACCAAUGAAGGAUACGCAUCUUGUACACUACCCAGGAGGGAGAGACGGUGGUGAGUGGAGGACACACAGCUUUUGCAUAAUGAAGACCUCUCAAGGUUAUGAAGAUCUUCAUCAAAUCUCUUCUCAAAGGAAAACAACCCCAGCUUCUCCAAUCUAUCCAGUUAACUGAUGUAACUCAUUGCCAGAACCAUUGUGAAUCUUUUCUGCACCCUCUCGAAAACUUUCACAUCCUUCCGAAAGUGUGGUGCCUAGACUUGGCCACAAUACUUCAUCUGAAUCUCAAACAGUGUUUACAAGCAUUCAAUUGUAUGAAAACAACAGGCUAAUAAGAUAAAAUAA